AUACGGAGGAUCCGAGCGUUAUCCGGAUUUAUUGGGUUUAAAGGGUGCGCAGGCGGGAGAUUAAGUCGGCGGUGAAAUUUUUCAGCUCAACUGUAAAAGUGCCUUCGAAACUGGGUUCCUUGAGUGUAGAUGGAGUAGGCGGAAUUUGUGGUGUAGCGGGGAAAUGCAUAGAUAUCACGAGGAACUCCGAUUGCGCAGGCAGCUUACUAAACUACUACUGACGCUCAGGCACGAAGGCGUGGGGAUCAAACAGGAUUAGAUACCCUGGUAGUCCACGCAGUAAACGAUGAUUACUAGCUGUUUGCGAUACAAUGUAAGCGGCUGAGCGAAAGCGUUAAGUAAUCCACCUGGGGAGUACGUUCGCAAGAAUGAAACUCAAAUGAAUUGGCGGGG
rnacentral:rRNA from 1 species